rnacentral:tRNA from 2 species
GUUCGUUUAGUGUAGUGGUUAUCACGUUCCCUUCACACGGGAAAGGCCCCGAGUUCGACCCUCGGAAUGAACA